rnacentral:lncRNA from 1 species
UCGGUGUUCGUCUCAACAAAACCUAACAUGUCGGUGCGAAAUUCUGCUAGGUAUGCUUCUCCCUCCCAUCAACUCCUUCUGAUUAUUCAUAUAGAUACAUUUUUCUCAUUUUACUGAUGCCCUUUUGUUGCCAUGUUUUUGGGUGUUCCUUCCUACAGCCAGCUUGACCAUUUGCUUUGGAAGGAGUAAUUCAACUCAGAAAGGACAAAUGAUUGGCGACUAUUUUUUCCCUACAAUCUCUUUAGGUCGAUUAUUCUUUUUUUCCUGUCAUGUUUUCUUUGCUUUGGCAGUGUAUUUGGUUAUUUCCUUCUCUGGAGCUUGGGCAUAUUGGUUGUCUUGUUGGCUCUUUUACUAGCAGUCUUUCCUUUUCAGUAUAUGGAAGAGAUUACUAGCUCACACAUGUAGUUUAGUUAUUAUGCUUCUAAAUAAGUUCUGCCUGAGAGUACAUAUUUUGUAUCCAUUGCUUAUUUAAUCCAUUGAGAUUUAUUCUCUCCGGUUCAUACAGUAUGUUUGCAUUUAACUUGGAAAUUGCAUGCUUACUUCAAAAUUGGAAUGUGACUUUUGCUUGCUGAUAGAUUCAGUUAUGGUGUGGUUGCCUGCUACUCAAAAUUAGUUAUAUCGCAUCAUAAAUUUCAAGAACCGCAUCACAACAGAUCAAUGGCAUUGUAGGUUCAGUGGACAUGUAUGCUGAAUAUCCCCUCACUAGACAAGAUUGGAUUUUAAUCUAUACAAGCCAUCCUCUCAGCUGCUCAGGUAGUUCUUCUUCCUCAUUAUCAAUGAAUAAUUAAGUUGGUUACAAAAUAUGCUUGAAGAUUGCAACACAGAGAUUGCCUGGCAGACUAAAAUAAUUAGGAGCUUCUUAUUGGACCCUUCAAGCAAUAGUGUAGUUAAUAUGUUAAUUAUUAGAUUAUGUUACUAGAGUAUUAGAAGAAUUUUUUGAUAUAUGUAUUUAUAGGAUUCUGUGAUAUUUGAUGCAAAAAAAAUGAUGGCCAGGCACUAUACUGCGCAUAAGUAAAAUUUCCAGUUUUUUCUUUUUGUGGUCAGUACCAGAACCUAUAAAGAAUGUUAGCUUCUGAUUGGACCCUUGCUGAUUCAUUUACUAGAACCCAGAACCCAGGUUGUUACAACUCCACUUUGUAGUUUUGUUCCCCGGUAGAAAGUCGCUUAGCUGACGUUACAGCAUGAGGUCUGUUGAACUUUCCCUGUCAUGCCUUUGGUACCUACACGUUGUUGCAUUUGUCCGACAGUGUCGUGUCUCUCUAGACACAGGUGAAUGCACUGGACUUUAUGAGAUCGAGGCCACCAACGGCAUAUGCCAAGGGCGUCCAUUGAUUACCUGCCCAAGGUCUGGAUUCACCGAGGAGGUACAACCGGACACUUGGUCGGCUGCCUGCUGGUCUGGAAACUACACAAUAUCUCUGAAACCCACUAUCCUCUAAUGCAUGAAUCUCUAUGCUCAGUUGGGCUACAACUAAUUUAUCAUCGUUUCAUCUUAUUCUAUAAUGCAAACAUCAUGUUUUUUCAUCGAGAGAAAGAACAUUAAGAAAAAAUUAUCAUUCUAUUGUAGCAAUAGCGAUUGUACAAAUAGCGGUACUGUGUUUGGUCGGUUGUUCUUGUGGCUUCCUGGCCAUGGGCACUUUACUACUUUGUUCCAAAAAAACCUGGUAUGUUUAUUCUGCUGGUACAGCUACUCUUUGGCUGGGACAUUUUGGCUUGGAAUAACAUAAAUGAACCUAAAAUUUCUUAUUAUUUUAUACCACCUUUUGUAUUUAUGUCCUUGUGCACACCAUCUGGAUGCUUUGAAAGUAUUUACCCAGCUUUCUUUUGAUUUGAGUUGUCUUUAUGUCAAGGACUAUUACAUAGAAUUAAGAAAGGCCAUAGUUAACCAGAAUAACAACUGCGGCAUUUCCUUGCAGAAAAUCUAUAAUGUUAUUUGCAGUGGUGAUGAUAGCGGGUCUUCCGAAUCGCUUCCUCAGCCUAACAACGCAGCCUACAAACCAACUUUUAUCAACAUCAGUAAUGAUGCUGGUAAGCACACCACGACAGAUUUACUUUUUAAAACCUACUGCUUAUACUCACCUUUUAAACCUCUUACUGUUUAUAACUCUGUAGGCCCUUCGCACCGUCGCCUGAAAGCCAAGAAAAAGAAAAGAAAAAGGAGCACACAUUGCAUGGUACAAAACCGUCUACCAUUACCGUUGUCAUGCUAUUAUGCCUAAUUUUAUUUGCCUGCCUAUUCAUACUAAUCUUUCAAGCCCUCUUCAUGAUUAUCAUCAUACAACACCUACAACUAAAUCCAUAAAACCUAAGAAGGCUGAACACAAGGAUUACAUAACCCGUACGAUCAAACAAUGUUUUCAUUUGCUCUACUAAUACCAGUACAUGCAUAUGCUUACACCAACCAUUUUAUAUACCAUUGAAUAGGGGCACCAGGCACUAUCUACUUUCUAAGUUUUGAUAGUCAUUGCAGAUGGGGAAACAAAUGAGGCUAUUGUAACACCCCGGAUGUAACUUUCCAUAUUUGUAACUCCAACUCUUGCCAUUUUCGAUAUGUGUUAUGAUAUUCCCUCCGUGGUUGGGUUUUGUCUUUCGUUUUGCAUUUUGUUCAUGUCAUGCAUCUCAUAUCAUGUCAUCAUGUGCAUCUCAUUUGCAUACGUGUUCGUCUCAUGCAUCCGAGCAUUUUCCCCGUUGUCCGUUUUGCAAUCCGGCACUCCCACAUGCACCGGCGCCCCCCUCUUGUUUCUUUUCGUGAGCGGGUGUUAAACAUUCUCGGAAUGGACCGAGGUUUGCCAAGUGGCCUUGGUAUACCACCGGUAGACCACCUGUCAAGUUUCGUUUCAUUUGGAGGUCGUUUGAUGCUCCAACGGUUAACCGGGUAACCACAAAGUCCUUUUCUAUGUUGCAGAAAAAAACCCUCCAAACAGCCCAAACCCCAUCUAAGUCCCCUCCAUGCUCUCGGUCGUUCGAUCACGAUCGUGUGGGCGAAAACCGCACUCCAUUUGGAGCCUCCUAGCUCCCUCUACCUAUAAAAACACCCUCUCCGAAAUUUCGGAUCAAACCCUAGAUCAAAUCGUCCUCCGCGCCGCCGGACGCGUCCACUCCGCGCCGGACGAACCCGCCGCCGCGCCCGCGCCAACCACAGCCUGCCNNNNNNNNNNNNNNNNNNNNNNNNNNNNNNNNNNNNNNNNNNNNNNNNNNNNNNNNNNNNNNNNNNNNNNNNNNNNNNNNNNNNNNNNNNNNNNNNNNNNNNNNNNNNNNNNNNNNNNNNNNNNNNNNNNNNNNNNNNNNNNNNNNNNNNNNNNNNNNNNNNNNNNNNNNNNNNNNNNNNNNNNNNNNNNNNNNNNNNNNNNNNNNNNNNNNNNNNNNNNNNNNNNNNNNNNNNNNNNNNNNCGCGGCCCCGACGUCCGCCGCCGCCUCCACCGCGCGCCCGGCGUGCCCCCUCGCCGGAUCCCGCCGUUCCCCGCUCUGGUGUCCUCUCCGGCCGCGUCUCCCUCUCCCUCCUCCGGCCGCCGCGUCCCUCUUCUCCGGCGAGCUCGAGCCCGCGCCGAUCCAGAUCUGGAGCCCGAGGGUUGACUUCUUCCUCCCCUCAAUUUUCUCCAAGUUCCGUAAUUUUUGCAACAUGUAGCCAUGUUCAUUGCAUCAUAACUCUCUGCAUAGAUCCGUUUCGUGCGUGUAAUAUAUCGAAAUGUUCGCCUCGAGAUGCUCUUCAUUUUGUUCUAUUAUGUGAUGCUCAUUUUAGUCCAUCUUGGUGCCCAAAUCUCUGGUGCAAGAGUGCUAUAUGCUGUUACCUGCUGUUACUUAUCAGAACUUGAGGAAUUGUUAUUUUUGUUGCUUUUGAUGUGUGCAUCUUAUGGGCAUGAGCUCUACAUGUGUUUUGAUGUAUGCCAUGCCAUCUUUACAGCGGUGUAUGCCAUGUAUUUUUAUGAUCUCUGUGGUCACUAGCACAAGCAUGCAAACUAGGCUUCAUGAUGUUUCUGUUUUCAGGGACUUAGUAAUUUCACCAAGUCUGUUACUACUGUUAUUUUGUUGCCAUGUAUCCAUGUGUCUACAAAGAGAUCCAUGCUUCUUUUGGGCAUGUUCAGUAAAGAUGUUUUGUAGAUAUGGUUGUGCUCUAUCCAUCCAUGCCCCUGUUUGCAAUUAUGGAGUGCCUAGCGUGACUCAAUCUUGUUCUACUUUUGCUAUAAAAUAUUCCUGGCAGAUUGUUAACAUGAUAUUCAAUUUUGCCAAGCUUGUUAUAGUUGAUGCAUACAUGCUAUGUAUUUGCUCUUGCCAUGGAUAACUUCAUUAACAUGCCAUCUUUCUGUAGGUAUACUUGUUUUUUCAUGCAUUGCUUUGUGGUGAGUGAAUCAAGCUCAUAAAUAUGCCUUUAUAAUACUCUGCCAAGUCUGAAACCUGUUAACGAAACUUGCUAUGUUUACAUGGGUGCCAUCAUAUCUUCUGAUCCUUUUGGGCUCAUGGUCAGUAAGGGACUUUUGUUCUAUGCAUUUAGUAGAUUAAUGCCAGGCCUUGUUUUGCUAUGUUAAGUUCCUGUAGCAUAUUGUUUGCUUGCUCUGAACAUUGCUACCUGAUGCUGUUUAUGCCAUGUCCAGUAAUUUCACCAAGUCUGUGAUCCUGAUAUCUUUUGCACUUUUGCCAUGCUUGUUGAAACCUAUUAUGUUGUGAUCUAGCCGUAGCUCAGUGUUCAUAUUUUGUCAAGAAUCUCCUGUAGAUUACUGACAUAUGUUUUGUUGCUACGUUGGGGUUCCGUAGCAUAGUUACUUAUUGCAUUCUAAGUGCUAUCAUGCUGUUAAUCGCAUAAUCAUGUCAUUCUUGUUUUGCUUGCCAUUUGCAAACCGUGCAUCCGUUUCCGGUGAUCUUUAUAUCGAUUUCGACCGAAAUCAUCUCAUCUUUCCAGUGGCAUACUUGGUUUGCCAAGUUACUGCCUUGUUCAUCCUUUUUUUCGGAGCACGCAUAUGCAUCGCAUAUCAUAUCUCGCAUAUCAUGCAUGUUUUGCAUCAUGUUGCUUGUGCAUUUCCCGUGAUUGAUUGUGGUUUCUUUGCUUGUAUUCUUGCUGUGGGUAGAGCCGGGAGACGAGUUCGUGAACGAGGAACCUGUUGAGUACGCUUACGAGGAUCAAGCUUUCGACAACUCUGAGAACCUUGCAGGCAAGAUGACCAUACCCUCGAAAUCACUUCUAUCUUUGCUUUGCUAGUUGUUCGUUCUAUUGCCAUGCUGCGCUACCUACCACUUGCUAUAUCAUGCCUCCCAUGUUUCCAUGUCAAGCCUCUAACCAUCCUUUCCUAGCAAACCGUUGUUUGGCUAAGUUACCGCUUUUGCUCAGCCCUUCUUAUAGCGUUGCUAGUUACAGGUGAAGUUGAAGUUGGUUCCAUGUUGGAACAUGGAUAUUUUGGAAUAUCACAAUAUCUAUUAUUAUAUUAAUGCAUCUAUAUAUUUGGUAAAGGGUGAAAGGCUCGGCCUUAUGCCUGGUGUUUUGUUUCACUCUUGCCGCCCUAGUUUCCGUCAUACCGGUAUUAUGUUCCUUGAGUUUGCGUUCAUUACGCGGUUGGGUGAUUUAUGGGACCCCCUUGACAGUUCGCCUUGAAUAAAACUCCUCCAGCAAGGCCCAACCUUGGUUUUACCAUUUGCCACCUAAGCCUUUUCCCUUGGGUUUUCGCGAGCCCGAGGGUCAUCUUUAUUUUUUAAACCCCCCCGGGCCGGUGCUCCUUCGAGUGUUGGUCCGAACCGAGUAGACUGCGGGGCCACCUCGGGGAAACUUGAGGCCUGGUUUUACUCAUAGGAUGUCUCAUCCGUUGUGCCCUGAGAACGAGAUAUGUGCAGCUCCUAUCGGGAUUUGUCGGCACAUCGGGCGGCUUUGCUGGUCUUGUUUUACCAUUGUCGAAUGUCUUCUAAACCGGCAUUCCGAGACUGAUCGGGUCUUCCCGGGAGAAGGUUUAUCCUUCGUUGACCGUGAGAGCUUAUAAUGGGCUAAGUUGGGACACCCCUGUAGGGUAUUAUCUUUCGAAAGCCAUGCCCGCGGUUAUGGGGCAGAUGGGAAUUUGUUAAUGUCCGGUUGUAGAGAACUUGACACUUGACUUAAUUAAAAUCUAUCAACCGUGUGUGUAGCUGUGAUGGUCUCUUCUCGGCGGAGUCCGGGAAGUGAACACGGUUUGAGUUAUGCAUGAACGUAAGUAGUUUCAGGAUCACUUCUUGAUCAUUUCUAGCUUCGCGACCGUUGCGUUGCUUCUCUUCUCGCUCUCAUUUGCGUAUGUUAGCCACCAUAUAUGCUUAGUGCCUGCUGCAGCUCCACCUCAUUACACCAUUCUUUCCUAUAAGCUUAAAUAGUCUUGAUCUCGCGUGUGUGAGAUUGCUGAGUCCUCGUGACUCACAGAUUCUACCAAAACAGUUGCAGGUGCCGACAAUGCCAGUGCAGAUGACGCAACCGAGCUCAAGUGGGAGUUCGACGAGGAACGUGGUCGUUACUAUGUUUCUUUUCCUGAUGAUCAGUAGUGGAGCCCAGUGGGGACGAUCGGGGAUCUAGCAUUUGGGGUUAUCUUAUUUUCAUUUGGAUUUGACCGUGGUCGGUCUAUGUGUCGAUUUUGGAUGAUGUAUGAAUUAUAUUUAUGUAUUGUGUGAAGUGGCGAUUGUAAGCCAACUCUCGUUAUCCCAUUCUUGGUCAUUACAUGGGAUUGUGUGAAGAUAACCCUUCUUGCGACAAUACCACAAUGCGGUUAUGCCUCUAAGUCGUGCCUCGACACGUGGGAGAUAUAGCCGCAUCGUGGGCAUUACAAGUUGGUAAUCAGAGCCAUCCCCGACUUAGGAGCCCCCUACUUGAUCGAAUCGCUGACGUUGUUGAGUCUAGAACAAAAAUGUUUUGAGUCUUAGGAUUAUAUAUAUCGGAGAGUAGGAUUCUUUUUACUCCUCAGUCCCUUUGUCGCUCUGGUGAGGUCUCCUGACGUAGAAUUUUUGACUUUUCUCUCCUCAAAUUUCACUAAAAAAAAAUUUAGGAUCACGCGGGUAUCUUGGAAUCGUUCCGAUGGUUUUGUGACGAGAACAUUGUUCUUGGUGCCUCCUGACAUUUAGGGGUUGUGGAAGUGUCCCGGGGAGUUGAGCUCCGAGGUGUUGUCGUCACAAUUUUAUCGUUGCAGUUCUGGAAUACCUGAGUUUCGCCGACAUCGAAAUCUCUUUUAUGCAGUUGUUGGUGAGAUCACCUCGACGCCACCCAGUACUGGGGCAGGAGUUCGGGAGUAUUGCCAUAACUCGUAUAACGCAUGCUGUUGAGGAUAUAACCAUUAGAGUCACCCGCCCAGGAGGGGCCGGGUUACGUCAUAAUGGUUGUCACGCGAAGCCCAGUACCAAGCUUGAAGACGGCGGGUCGAUAAUGGGCUUAAGACCCGGAGAUGGCUUAAGGCCCGUAGUGAUAAACUGUCGUAUGGCAAGACUUGUAGUGUAAGGCAAGAAUAGCUAAGAGUCCGAGCCGGACACUGUUAUGAGCUGGCCGGGACUCUGAGAGCCGCUGGGCGUCAACCUCUCUAUAUAAAGGGACAACCCGGCGGCGGUUUGGGGACAAGAAAGACAAGAUCGAUAACCAGGCAGGACGGUAUAGCUCCUGGUGGUCGAAACCCUAAGCAAUACAAUCUCAAACUGGACGUAGGCUUUUACCUUCACCGUAAGGGGCCGAACUAGUAUAACCCUCGUGUUCCUUGUCCCGCUUAACCCCUUUAAGCUUCCUAGCUGCGAUGGCUCCACGACUAAGUCCUAGCACGAGGACAUCUGACGUGACAAUUCCACGACAGUUGGCGCCCACCGUGGGGUUGGCGCACGGUGGAUUUGAGUUCUUGAAGGGCAGCUUCGAAGGGCUCAAGGGAUACGCUGUGGGCCGGAUGACCAAGAGUUUUCGUGGCAAGCUCUACAUCGACGAUGCAAACUGGGGCCCCGACGCCGGCUCAAUUGAGUACGGGUACCGGGUCCCCUUCGGCGGAAUUCAUGUAUUCAUUGGCAAGAUUGGCGAGUCGGGCCCUGAGCCGGAUCUCUGCGCCGAUCUCAUCGAGACGGCUCAGCAUGCACGACCUGCCCGGGCUUUACCUGCCUUGAAGCAUGCCUUCGUGGGAUGUAUCCACGGAGGACUCUCUGGAGGAUCUGGACCUGGUGAUGAGACGGCCGCCGGCUCUGACGGCGAGUCGUCUACAGAUGAGUCAAAUUCGUUGUAUCAACUUCAAGACGGCAGGCUCAGAGGUUGUUCUGAUGGAUACAGCAUUCCGGAUCCCUUUGAGCCGCCGAGCCGGGUUGGAAUCUUCAUGGCCAGCGCGCAACCUGUUCAAAACCCCGCCGCCGGGUCAGGAAGCCCGGCGCCUUCGCCGGCUCAGGUGCUGGACAAGAUGACGGUCCUGUUGACCGCUACGGUUGCCCCGGCGGAUCAAGUUCAGCAUGACGCAGAGGUGGCACAGUUAAAGUUGGAUCUAGCAAAGGCCAAGGAGGAUCUGGCGGCGGAGGGGAUCAGGAUGGCUGCAGAGAGGGCGGCUCUCGACGCCCAAACUCAGCUGAUUCAGGCAUAAUCCUUCCGGCUCACGAUGGAUCAAAACGCGUCCAAUGAGGUCAUGAGAAGGAGGCAUCAAAAGGCCCAAUCUCGACUCCCUCCGGUUUACGAUCCUCGAAACCUCUUCAACACGCCAGGUGCAGGGUCUAGUAACCCGCCAGAGAUCAUAGUGCCCGGGGCUGGGACGCCAAUUCCGCCCCAAGUGAUGGGACCUCCCCGGAUGAACCCUGCCCCACCUCAGUACGUACCAAUACCACCGGGUCAUUAUGCCAACCCGUUGGAAAACAUGGUCGCCGCGGCGGCGCGGCUGGCGGCUCUCCCAAUUGAUGGUGACUCUCCAACGGCGGUUGAAACCCGCCGGGUCAGAGAACUCCUUCAGACGGCUCUGGCGCAGCAAGAGGCGUAUUCUUAUAGCCGGGACAGGAUUCAUUCAACCCCUCGUCCAGGCCAGAGCCCGAGUUAUAGCAGACACAUGGUCUCAGCGACCGGCUCAAGUAAUGUCCGACGCCAUGACUUGCCUCCUGGCCACGGCCCGGCUCAUAACGGAGCCUUUCACGCAGCAGACCAAGACAGGGCACGGCAAGAGGCGGAGCAGGUGCCUCAGUUGACAGCUUACCAGCCACCCCCGGCUUAUCCGACGGCUUCCAUCGACGUGGGUAUCCCUACGAGGACUGGAGGUGUCCCUUGUCUAGUGCCGGCUCUCCGCAAUGAACGUCUACCCAAGGACUUCAAAGGGCCUAGGAAGGUGCCUAAUUACACGGCUGAUUUACAACCCGGAGCCUGGAUCGAGAGUUACCAGAUGGCCAUGGAAUUUCUGGAGGUCAGCGAAGCGGCGAUGGCCAAGUACUUCACCAUGAUGUUAGAUGGGACUGCCCGCACUUGGUUGAAAGGGCUGCCACCGAAUUCUAUCGGGUCUUGGGCUGAGCUGAAAGCCCGGUUCAUCCAAAACUUCAAGGAUACCUGUAGGCAGUCUAUGUCAAUUGUGGAUUUGACUAACUGUAAACAGCAGGAGGGUGAGUCUACAACACAUUGGGUUCGCCGGGUCAAAGAGAUAAUACAUUCAUCUGAUAAGAUGGAUGCCGGCUCUGCAGUCUUAAUGUUGGAGCAGAAUUGUCGUUUCCUGCCCCUGAAGAUGAAACUCGGGCGGCUCAAGCGCGACUGCAAUGAUAUGGGUACGCUGAUGGCCGCUCUCGUCAAGUACGCCGACUCUGAUAGUACCAAGGACCCCGCGUCAGAUGAUGAAAGGACAGGGAAGGGAAAGAAGAACGGCAAUGGCAAGGGCCCUCAGCCUAACCCGGCGAACCAAGGAGGCAGCAAGCGUAAGGCUGAUGGCAGCAUAGAGUUUGUGGCCAAUGCCAGCUCACAGGGUAACAACCAGUGACGUAAGGGGAGGCCACCUCCCCGAGCCGGCGGUUCAGGCCCAACGCUUGAGCAGCUGUUGAAUGAGCCUUGUCCAAGGCAUGGCUCUAGGGAGAAGCCAGCUACUCAUCUAUGGAAAUAUUGCGCAAUCAUGAAGGCCUUUAAGAAUUCCAAUGCCUUUAAUGGCAACAAUGUCUCGGGCGGCGGCUCAGGCGCUGGCGGCUUUCAUGGCUCGGGCGGCGGCUCAAGUUUCAAUCCUCAGAAUGUUCAAGGGGGCUUUAAUCAGCAGUCCGGCCAGGGUCAUCAACAGCAGCAGGGGGGAUACCAGACCAAUCCAAAGCAGCUCAAUGGUGGACAGUAUCAUGUGUUUACCACCAGUCUGUGUAAACGAGAUCAGAAGCUUCAUAAGAGGGCCGUGAAUGCUGUUGAGCCGGCGGUUCCACGCUAUCUGAGAUGGUCUGAGUAGCCUGUUGUGUGGAGUAGGGAGGAUCACCCUCCCCGGGUGGAUAAUCCGGGUCACCUGGCCCUGGUGGUGGCUCCUCAGGUGGGAGGAUAUAAGUUCACUAAGGUGCUCAUGGAUGGAGGCAGGAGCAUCAACAUCCUCUAUUAUGAGACCUUCCGUCGUAUGGGGUUGAUUGAUAAGAACCUCAGCCAGUCCAAUACUGUUUUCCAUGGUGUGGUGCCUGGUAAGUCGGCUUAUCCAGUUGGUAAGAUCGAGCUGGAGGUGGCCUUUGGAGAUGAGUACAACUACAGGGCGGAAAAAUUGACCUUUGAGGUGGUCAAGAUAAGAAGUCCGUAUCAUACCAUAUUUGGGCGGCCGGCUUAUGCCAAAUUCAUGGCACGGUCGUGUUACGUAUACUUACAGCUCAAGAUGCCGGGUCACAAUGGGACCAUUACGGUUCAUGGCAGCCGAAAGAUAGCCUUGGAGUGUGAGGAAGGUGAUGCGGCUUAUGCGGAAUCUGUUUGUGCAACAGAGGAGUUGAAGUUUUACAAAGACAAUGUUGACCCAACAGAUAUGACAUCUCUGAAAAAGCCGACCACAGAGCAUGAGCCGGCAAUGAAAUUUAAGUCAGCUGAUGAGACUAAACUUGUUGAUUUCGUUCCAGGUGACUCAUCUCAGCAGUUCAGCAUCAGUGCCAAUCUGGAUCCAAAAUAGGAAAGCGUGCUCAUCGAGUUCAUCCGUGAGAACAGUGACAUUUUUGCAUGGAAACCUUCUGACAUGCCAGGUGUACCUAGAGAACUCGCUGAGCACACUCUUAAUAUUGAUCCGAAAUUUAAGCCGGUCAGGCAAUUCCUUCGGCGGUUUAAUGAGGAGAGGCGGAAAGCCAUUGGUGAGGAGGUGGCCCGGCUCUUGGCGGCCGGGUUUAUUGUCGAGGUCUUUCAUCCGGAAUGGUUAGCUAACCCGGUGCUCGUGCUCAAGAAGAAUGGCACCUGGCGGAUGUGUGUGGACUACACGGACUUAAACAAGGCAUGUCUGGCUGAUCCUUUUGCUCUCCCCCGUAUUGAUCAAAUCAUUGAUGCUACGGCGGGUUGUGAGCGCUUAAGUUUCUUGGAUGCUUAUUCUGGAUACCAUCAGAUUAAAAUGGCAGUUAAGGACCAGGAGAAGACAGCGUUCAUCACUCCCUUUGGAGCCUUCUGUUAUGUGUCUAUGCCUUUUGGACUCAAGAGUGCACAGGCGACUUACCAGCGUUGUGUGCAGAAUUGUCUUCAUAACCAGAUUGGGCGCAAUGUUCAUGCCUAUGUGGAUGACAUCAUGGUUAAGUCCGGGGAGAAGGAGACCCUGGUCGAUGACCUUAGAGAAACCUUUGAUAAUCUCCGGGUUUACAAGAUGAUGCUUAACCCGGCCAAAUGUGUUUUUGGUGUUCCUGCAGGCAAGCUCUUGGGUUUCCUGGUUUCUAACAGAGGCAUUGAAGCUAACCCAGAAAAAAUCAAGGCCAUCACCUCUCUGGCUAAGCCGGCGUGUAUAAACGACGUCCAGCGUCUAGCAGGCCGCAUCGCUGCUUUGAGUCAGUUUAUAGGCCGUUUGGGUGAAAAGGCCAUGCCACUGUACCAGUUGAUGAAGAAAACUGAUGACUUUAUCUGGAAUGAUGCUGCUAAUGCUGCUUUUGAGGAUUUGAAGAGACAGCUGGCUGAGCCCCAGUUCUUGCUGCUCCGAUUGACAAAGAGCCCUUAUUACUGUAUGUAGCUGCUAACACACGAGCCGUCAGUGUGGCUGUGGUGGAGGAGCGCAAGGAAGAGGGUAAGGAGUAUCCAGUUCAGCGGCCGGUUUAUUACGUCAGUGAAAUGCUCAUCGAGUCCAAACAACGGUAUCCACAUUGGCAGAAGCUUGUUUAUGGUGUGUUCAUGGCAAGCCGGAAGCUUAAGCAUUAUUCCCAAGGUCACCCCAUCACUGUGGUUAGUUCUACUCCCCUUGGAGAUAUCAUCCAAAACAGAGAAGCCACAGGAAGAGUGGCUAAGUGGGCUAUAGAGCUUGGGCCUCAUGGUCUGAAAUACGUACCACGCACUGCUGUUAAAUCUCAAGCUUUGGUGGAUUUCAUCAACGAUUGGACAGAGAUACAGGUGCCCGAAGAAAAGCCGGAUAAUACAUAUUGGACUAUUCACUUCGAUGGGUCUAGGCAAUUGGAGGGCUCGGGGGCUGGAGUUGUAUUGGCUUCCCCUAAAGGUGACAAGUUUCAUUAUGUGCUACGGUUGAUGUUUCCUUGUACUAACAAUGCGGCUGAGUACGAGGCCUUGCUCCAUGGUCUUCGGAUGGCUAAGGAGAUGAGCUUGAGCCGGGUAAGGUGCUUCGGCGACUUAGACUUAGUGGCUCAACAAGUAUCAGGCAAGUGGGAUUCCAAGGACCCUCUCAUGGCGGCUUAUCGCCGUGAAGUUGAUGCCAUUGCUGGACACUUUCAGGGUUACCAAGUAGAGCACAUCGAUCACAGGAAGAACGAGGCGGCUGAUGCACUAAGCCGGCUGGGCUCUCAGCGAAAGCCGGUGCCGCCUAAUACUUUCUUGGACAUCUUGCAUAACCCUUCUGUUAAGUUACCUACAGAGGAAGACUUGGCUGUCCCUGACCCGGAAGCACAGUUGGUGGCGGCUCUUCACUUCACCCCAGACUGGACAGUAUCAUAUUUGGCUUACAUGACCCGGGGAGAGUUGCCUGAGGAUGAAACUUUGGCCAGACAAAUAACCCGGCGGUCUAAGUCAAUGAUAAUUAUCAAUGGUGAGCUACAUCGCCGCAGUGUCACUGGAACUUUCCAGCGUUGUGUUUCCCCUGAGGAAGGCCAAGAUAUUUUGCGUGAGAUUCACGAGGGGGAUUGUGGCCAUCAUGCCGGCUCAAAAUCCCUUGUGGCCAAAGCUUUUCGUCAUGGUUUUUAUUGGCUGACGGCUCAUGCUGAUGCGGAAGACUUGGUCAGUAAAUGUGAUGGUUGCCAGAGGUUCUCGCGACGGGCUCAUGUGCCGGCUCAGGAGCUAAGGAUGAUUCCAAUUACUUGGCCAUUUGCGGUCUGGGGGCUUGAUAUGGUUGGGCCUUUUAAAAGGUCCAAGGAUAAGAAGACCCACCUCUUGGUGGCAGUUGACAAGUUCACAAAGUGGGUUGAGGCGGAGCCAGUUAGCAAGUGUGACGCGGCCACUGCAGUUCAGUUCAUGAAAAGGGUGAUAUUUCGCUUUGGUUUUCCACACAGCAUUAUAACUGACAAUGGUACCAAUCUGUCUAAGGGCGCCGUGGAGGAGUUUUGUCAGCGAGAGCAUAUUCGACUUGAUGUUUCGUCAGUGGCUCACCCUCAAUCCAAUGGUCAAGCUGAGAGAGCUAAUCAGGAGAUUUUGAAGGGCAUCAAGCCCCGGCUUUUGGUCCCUUUGCAACGGACGCCGGGUUGUUGGGUGGAGGAGUUACCCUCCGUGUUAUGGAGCAUCAAUACUACUCCUAAAGAUCUACGGGUUGCACGCCGUUCUUCAUGGUUUAUGGAGCGGAGGCAGUCCUCCCUAGCGACAUCCGUCAUGACUCACCUAGAGUGGCGGCUUAUGUUGUGGCGGAUAAUGAGCGGGCGCGCCAAGAUGCUCUUGACUUGUUGGACGAACAGCGUGAUGUGGCAGCAGCUCGCUCGGCGAUUUACCAACAAGACCUGCGCCGUUAUCACAGCCGCCGGGUUAAGUCCCGGGUCUUCCAGGAAGGUGAUCUGGUGCUCCGGCUCAUCCAAGAUCAAACAGAUGCACACAAGUUAUCCCCGCCUUGGGAAGGGCCCUUUGUGGUCAGCAAGAACUUGCACAACGGGUCAUACUACCUUAUCGACGUUCGGGAGCACAAAGAUUCACGCAAGUCGGAGGAAGAGACCCGUCGGCCGUGGAACAUAGCUCAGCUUUGGCCUUAUUACACUUGAGCCACCGGCUCUCACAAUGUACAUAUUUCUAUAGCCAUGUAUAUAUUAUGUUAAAUAAUAAAACAGGACCUCUGUCCUUUUCUCCUCCAAAGGUAAACAUGUUAUUUCCGUUACAACAUCACAUGGUCACUUGGAGGUGGAUCCGGCUUAUGAUCGUAUUCGAAUCUAGCCGUAAACAAUAUAAUCACCUGGGGGCUUCCUGUUCAAACAUAGGUUGUAUUCGAACCAAAAAGAACAUAGCUGUCGAUACCCACUUGAUUGGCAAAGUGCCGAGCUCAUUGGGGAGUUUUCUUUGAUCAUAUUUGAAUCAUAGCUCAACCCCCUUUGGGAACCGACGUGGAUCGUAUUCGAAUCAGCGUCGUUAAACAACUCUUAAGGUCAUUUGGGGGCUUCCUGUUCAAACAUGGGUCGUAUUCGAACCAAAGAGAACAUAGCUGUCGGUACCCUCUUGAUCGGCAUCGCCAAAGCCACUGGGGGCUAUAUGAUCGCAUUCGAAUCUUAGCUUAACCCCUUUGGGACGGUUCUCUGGUCGUAUUCGAACCGGAAGCCCCUAAGUUUUUGAUCUUCUAACUUACAACAAGUUCUUUUGGUCACAUCAAACAGUGUGCAAGGGCGGCUUUUACUUUGCUGACUUAAUUUUGAUUCACAACGUUGAUAACACAUAGUAAGUAUUCUUGAUGCUGGUAAACCGGAAGUGGGAUCUUCAUCUCAUUAUUCGGGUUACAUAAACCGGAAGUAUACUUGAAGGCUUGUAAGUAUGCUAUUAUGGUUACAUCAAAGAUAUAAUUGAGGGCCAGUCUUUGGUGACUUUUGUUCAUAUUCCGGGUUAUAUAUAUAAGGUCUAUGAUUCUCAGUGCGGUAAGCCGCCUAGAGACUUGUGACUUGUUUUCUAUGCAGGAUGGUUAAAGACAGCUAUUCGAGCUUAAGGAAAAUAACUGAUCAAUUAUAACCCGGAGGAAUAAGAAGAAGCAGCUUCAAUGGAGUUAAGCAUUCAACACGUGCACGCUGGCACGACAAAAUUAAGUGUUUGUCCUACUCUAUUACAAGACUCCCCGAGUCCAAAAGGUGAGGCAUUGUUUUAAGGUGCAACCAUGAGCCGCCUAAAAAUCAAGGUGCUUGUGGAGUUGAAGCUUCCGGCUCAUCCCUCUCCGCUCCUCCGGCUGAUUCCAUGACCUGGAAGGUUGAUGAUUUCCAGUCAAUACCGCUCAAGGCUUCAAAUUGAGCCUCGUCAUCAAUUAACCCGGCCGGGUCAACUUCUGGGGCGAAGGUGUGCUUACGCGUCGGAGGGAUCAAGCUGAUGGCUUCAUAACAUGGAGUGGGGAUCCUCUGAUUUUCCGCGUCAUAGCCCGGCUGAUACUUGGUAAGGUCGGUGUCAUUCCCAAUCAGGGUGGCCACCGGGCGCACGCUCUUCACACAGGCAGCAAAGUCUUUUUGGUCAAAGGGGGUGUCGUCUUCCUUCAGACUGGGGUAUCCAAGAGCGAUGUCGGCCGGGUCUAGCUCCGGAAGGAAAGCCUUGGCCCGGCUCAGAGCAGCUAUAGCUCCGGCUCUUGCAGAGGCCCGUCUUAGCUCUUGGAAGCGCUGAGGAAGGACGGCCAGCCGCCUGAGUACAUCCGCCAGGUGAGUCGGAACCUCGUUGGACAGAGCCACAAUGGCUAACGCACGCUGUGACCCGGUAUAGAGUUGCUCCACCAAGGUGUACACGGCCUUCAGCUUGGUCAGAACAUUCUGGUUAAGGUUGGAGCUUCUGGGACCUGUUUAAACAAAGUCAGGUAAGCCGGAGACAGUAGGGGGCUUAUGAGACAUAAAGAAUGAAAACUUGGUAAAAGCUUGCAGAAUGACUUACCGAAGAUUGCGGAGACCAUCUGUGACACAUGGCGCUUUAAGCCGGAGAGUUCGGCGGUUCUCUCAGUUAGAGCAGCCUCUGCUUUUUUGGCCCGGCUCAGCAAGGCGGUUCUCUCCUCGGCCCAAGUUUUUCUUUCUGUUUCAAAUUUCUUCUUCAGUUUUUCCUGUGCAGCAACACUGAACUCAAAUUUAGCAUUGGCCUUCCGGGUCUCGGUUUCCUGAGUCUUCAGGCGGUUCUUCAGCUCAGAGAUUUCAGAUUCAAAUGUCUUGCAGGCAGCCUGUACAAAUUCCGGGUUAUAGUAUGAGUGACUAUUAUGCAACAUUAAAGUCCCAAGCACUUUACAAGCAAAGGCACUUGGCACUUGGGGGCUAAUGUAUGUUGAAAGAUUCAAUUGGAGAUUGCCGGGUCAUGAAGGUAAGCCGGAAGCUAAGUCUACAACGUACUCAAUCAUAAGUAAUAGACUUGGGGGCUAGCAUGGUAAGGUUGGCUAUGGAGUAAGCAAGAGAGUUGUACCUCAGAUUUUUGUUGUAUCUGCUUUACCAUGUCAAUCUCCAGGUCCCGGCUGUUGUGCACCUGAUUAACAUAGCCGGAGACGAUAUCUCCAAUGCUCAAGUUAGCAUAGUUGGUGAUAUCCAGCUUGGCCCUGCGGCGCUCUAGCAACUCUUCCUUGGCAGAGCAUUUAGCCAGCGCAGUGGGUCUCCCCGGCUCGACAAAUUCCGUCCGGGUGAUUACAACGUCCGGGUCAUCGGCCGGCUGAGCUGGGCUGGGGAUCUCCGGGUUAGUUGAAGCCUCUAUGACUGGCUCGUCAGUUGGAGCGGUGGCUUCAGGAGCUGAGGCAGAUGGCGGUUCUUGAGCUGAAGCUUCCGGUUCAGUUAGGACCGGCUCUUCGACCGGUUUAUUCUUCUUCGCCCUCUUGCUAAGCUUUGCUUGAGCACUGAAAGGACAAGAGGUUAGUACAAAAGCAUGAGUAAAGAUAAGCACAACAUAAGACGAUCAUCAUUACCCGGGUGCGGUCUUGAAAGCCGGCAGGUUAGAUAUCAUAGAAUCACCAGAGGAAGGUGAAGUUUCCUGAUAAUUUGAAUCAGAAGAAUUGAACGGUUGACGAGUAACGCCCGCCAAAGGAUGAAAAGGAUAUAAGUUGGAGAUAACCUCGGUCCGGCGCUUCCUUGAUGCUUCAGGUAAGCCGGAGGAGAGGUCUGCAUCCUUGUUGGUCCGGGUGUGCCGCCGGCUCUCAUGAAUCUGUCGCUUCAAAAGAAAUUGAGGAUCUUGAUAAGCUAAAUGAUGUGAAAAUCUUACUUUCCGGGUUACUCUUCGGACUUUCAGCCUUGGCAAGGGCUCCGAGUCGGAGGAAAGUGUAGUUACCUCUUCAGUCACUGGGUUACUCGCUCCGGUGUCCUCCUGCUGAUAAUCAGUAUCGAUAAGGCGGAUAGGAAUAAAUAAGAAACAAAAGAAGAGCCUAAAGAAUCAAGGGUUACCUCUGACUCGGAGCUAUCACUUAGCUGAAGCAGCUCUGAGGCAGUAGGCCUGCUUCCCUUCUUGCGGGGAGCGGCUCUCCUAGUGGCUUUCUUAGCCUUCCUGGCUUUUUUAGCCGCCUCAUGGUCAUAUUUGACCUUCCAGAACUUGUCAUUAGCCUGAAAAAUACAACAAAGAUUUCUUAAAGUUCAGAUGAAAACUAUUAAAAGUAAAACCAAGGUGUUCAGGUCAGUGGCUUACCACCGGAGCCGGGUUAGCUUUGCAGAAGGGGUCUAAGCCGGUCCUCCCACAGUCGGCUAAGCUCUCAUUCAGGAGAGACUUGGUCAUGUCGUCCACGACGUCCUCGGGAAUCGUUGGGGCUGUGCCGCAGAGGGUCAUCCUUCCGGCCCGUGUAAUCACACAUUAAGCCGGGGCGACGGCUCAAGGGGAUCACCCGCCAAGAGAUCCAUACCCGGACCAGAUCAAUGCCGUUGAGGCCAUUUCCCAGGAGAGCCUUGAUCUUAUUGAUGGUGGGGAUCAGAGGUUGAUGCUCAGCUUGAGAUAGUUUGUCUGGCAGGGGGUGAUUUGGCUCCAGACGCAGGGCACGAAAGCCGGGCAGAGGGCUCUCGUUAGUCGGAGAAGUAUCCUGGCAAUAGAACCAUGUCUGGUUCCAGUCCUUUGGAUGGCUUGGCGGCUCAGCGUAAGGAAAGAGGCAAUCUCUCCGUCGUUGAAUGGAGAUUCCACCAAGUUCCAAGCUCGGCCCGUUGGCGCACUCGUUCUGGCGGUUCAGAUAAACAGCUCCCUAAAGAGCAGUAGGCUGGGCUCUUCUCCAAGAUAGACUUCACAGAAUACUUGAAAAUUGCAAAUAUUCGACACGGAAUUGGGUCCUAUGUCUUGCGGCCGCAGAUCAAAGAAGUUCAGAACCUCUCUAAAGAAUUUUGAGUCGGGCGGUGCGAAGCCCCGGCUCAUGUGAUCAACAAAUAUCACCACCUCGCCAUCUCUAGGUUGAGGUCUUUCCUCUGACGAGUCAGGAGCACGAUAAGACAUGACCUCCUUCUUGGGCAGGUAACCCGUCUUCACGAAAUCGGCUAAAGUGUCAUCAGUAACAUUGGAUCUCAUCCAGUUGCACGUGAUGGGUGCCUUGGGAGCCUUGGGUGGCAUUGUGAAAGAUGAAGCCUAUGACAAAAGGGAAAUGUCCGGUUCAAUUAUAAGCCGGAAGAAAUUUAUAGUUCAACACUCAAAAUGGCGGCUUAUGAAGGGGCCUAAUGACAUAUGGCUAAUUGCGUCGGGUUAUCUAAGCCGCUGUGGGUGUCGUGAGUAAUUCAAGUUGUCUACAGUUUGAUCAUAAAUGAGCCGGAAAUUUUAUAGCGAGUGGCCUCUUUUAAGCCAGAGAUAUGAGCCGCCAUAGCUAAACAGAUGCAAUUUUUGACUAAGUGUGGCGCAAACAAGUUUCACAGAUUGCAGUAAUUAUUUUGGAUCAAACGGUCGGCUAAAAAGAAAAUUUCUAGACCUAGAAAGCUGAUACUAAGAAGUUCAUGGAUUCAGAACGAGAUCUUAUUGCAGACAAAGGGGAUCUACUAGCAUAAAAAUGGAUGCGCAACAACUAUCGCAGGAGCUCCGUACUACUUUUGGAUCAAACAUGACUGUAGUGGAAGAACUACAAGGAACUCGAGAAGAACAGCGGAACCCUAAAUGCGGAUCUACGGUGGAGAGGUGCAGGGACUUACCGGUGCUGAGGAGUUGCGGAGGUCGCCGCCGUUUCUCUGGACAGGUCAGGGUGAUGCAGCGGCCGAGGUUGACGAAGGCCAGGAGAGCGGCGGCGGCGGAGCUCGAGCGGCAGUACAGUAGCGAGAGGAGGAAGACGAUGGAGGCGACAGGUGAAGGAAGGCUCAUGGGCCGGGCUUAUUUAUAAGGUGCGGCUAGUAAGUGGGCGCGAGAAACGAGGAGACCACGGCGUGAUUAUCUCACCGCAGAAGCGCCUCGAUUUCCGGGAUGGCCAUUAAAGAUAAGAUCCGUUGGAGUAUAACAGAAUAAAAAUGGACUUAAUGGAAGAUGACGUCAUGGCGGGUUACCAGGAAUCCAGAAGAUGACGUCACGGCGGGUUAUAACCUUCGCAGACCAUAAGCCGGAAGAUUUUUUUCUCUCAAAGGAAUUGAAGAUUGACAUGAACCAGUUCAAAUCAAUCUGGGGCCUAAUGUUGAGGAUAUAACCAUUAGAGUCACCCGCCCAGGAGGGGCCGGGUUACGUCAUAAUGGUCAUCACGCGAAGCCCAGUACCAAGCUUGAAGAUGGCGGGUCAAUAAUGGGCUUAAGACCCGGAGAUGGCUUAAGGCCCGUAGUGAUAAACCGCCAUAUGGCAAGACUUGUAGUGUAAGGCAAGAAUAGCUAAGAGUCCGAGCCGGACACUGUUAUGAGCCGGCCGGGACUCUGAGAGCCGCUGGGCGUCAACCUCUCUAUAUAAAGGGACGACCCGACGGCGGUUUGGGGACAAGAAAGACAAGAUCGAUAACCAGGCAGGACGGUUUAGCUCCUGGUGGUCGAAACCCUAAGCAAUACAAUCUCAAACUGCACGUAGGCUUUUACCUUCACCGUAAGGGGCCGAACCAGUAUAACCCUCGUGUUCCUUGUCCUGCUUAACCCCUUUAAGCUUCCUAGCUGCGAUGGCUCCACGACUAAGUCCUAGCACGAGGACAUCUGACGUGACAAUUCCACGACAGAUGCUUUUCGAAGGUUGAGGUACACGAUUUCCGAAGGUUUCUUGGUUAUGUGUUGACGGAUGGAUACAGCUGGAUCUAGGGAUUGUUAGUUUGGGUGAUAUAUUUUAUGUCCCCUGUAUCCCCUACACCAGAUUGCAUAACCAGAAAGUUUUGGGAGUUUAUAGGUGGGAUUCAAGUAGCUCUUAGGAUAUCUUUCCGACAGAUGCAUGAUGUGAGAUUGGGGUUCGACGUCUAGUGGUCCGCCUUUCCACGGUUGGUUUUACAGUGGUCUCGUAGUGUCUUAAAGAGUCCUUGGCUAUGCCGACUCGGGGACGCUUCGUAUGUCAUGUGCACUGCCUUGUACAUGAUGGUGCUGUACGACCGAGCCCGUGUGGGCCCCACCACGAAAACUUCGGACGAAAUCUCUAUCAUAUGUUUGUUCCGGCUUAUUCUGCAAGCCAAUCCUUUGUUUUGUUUUGUUUUGUGGUAUUCGAGUUGCUUCAAUGCCAAGUGUUGAUUCUAUACCUUAUUCUAAGCGGUGUUCUCAUAUUUCUAUGUGGUUGCUAAUCCUUUCGAUCAUCGAGGUUGUCAUAUUAAUUUUUUUUUCAACCGGCGUGCUUCUCUUCAAGUGCAUCCAGUCAUCCCAACAUUCACAAGAUCAAUUCUAAGUUUUCUCAACGAUAUCCAUUCCAUCUGCCCAAGUUGCCUUGUUUUCCCGCCCUCCCACCCUUUUUCUUCAAGGACUCAGAUUUCUUAAUCAAGUAUCCAUAUUAUAGAUGGGAAGUCUCUCCAUUCUUUUCCGUCAAUGUUCUUAUCCGGUGAUUUCCCAUGAAGAUACUAACGGAGCUUCAAGUUUAUCAUUCUUUGUUCUCUUAUCUUCCUCGGUGGUUUCAAUGCAAGCUUUCGGUGUUGAUCGUAUCCUUUCAUCGUUUCAAAUGUUUUCUCAUGCCGGUGCACCUCUUAAUCUUCCACCUCUUGCUAUUCAUGUUUAUCUGGAGUGCUGAAGGUAUCCCAGAGGAUUCAUGUUUCUAUUCUUAAUCCUUUCUAGCUAUUUCGAGAUCUUACCUUAUUCAAGCCAUUUAAUUGAACCGACGCAAUCUCUCUUUUAAAUCGUUCAACGGUGUAUAUGUUGAGUGGGACCUAACCCACAGGGCUUUUCCCAGGAUCUUACCUGACUCUUCUAAUUUUCCCGGAGCUAUUCACAAAUUCAUUUCAAAGUUUGACGUAAGAAUGAGUUAUCAUCAGUCAGAUGUCUUUUUCUAAGAUCUUCCAAAUUCUUUUCAUUGUUGGUUCAACCUUUCUUAUUUUCAUCCCGGAGUAUCUCAACAAUUCAUGGUGGUGUUUCUCGUCAUCAUUCUCAACAUUUGAAGACCGAAGAAGAGUUCCUCUUCAAUCUAAUCCGUUCUCUCAAAGAUGCGUGGUUCUAACUUGUUGCCGUCCUCUCAUAAUUGUUUUGAGUGUGAGAAUUCUUUUCACCCAUCCGGAGCAAUUCAGGAGUCUUUUCAGUUUGAUUCUUUGGAACUCAUCAUCUCAGAAUUAUUCAUUCUCAGCUUUCAGCUCUCGUUCUCGAAUUCUUCCAGUGCAUCAUUCAAGUAUUAUCUAGUCAGCUCGGGAUCUCUGCGUUCACUUGUAUCUAAAUUCUUUCAAGUAUCUUCGUUCAUUGUCAAAUUCUUCCCGAUGUUUCUUUAUCUUUUCUUCGUUCAUUUUCAAUUCUUACGGUGGUUCGUUCAAGAUUUCUAUUCCUUCGUGAUCAUAUCAAUUCAUUCGUUGUUUCCAAAUCCUACCGGUGGUCCCAUCAAGACCUUCCCAAGUUUGCGCCAUAUCUAUCUUAAUCCUUUCUACGAGAAUAAGUAGUAUGACAAAUCCAUUGCUUGUCAUCAAUUAAUUGGUGAAGGAUGAGCAUAAUGUAAUUCUUAUUCUUGUUUCAUCGAGUAAAUUCAAUUCCUUAUUCCGGAGGUUCAUCAAAAUUCUUGAUUUCAUUUGUUCAUCUUUCUUUCCGGAGUUCCAAGUUUUCUCGGUUAUAUCAUUUCAAAGCUUCAUCUUAUCACUGCAAGGCUUCACCUGGUGUUUUCAACUUCUCUUUCUUUCUAUCAUCCUUUUAUUACCGGAGUUCUUCAUGGAGUUUUUUUUCAUGGUGGUUCAUCAAGGAUUUAAUUCAUUCUCGAAGUGUUCUCAAGAUUCUUGUUGGAAGAGCUCAAAUAUUUUUCUUCCUGCAUUCCAAAGUGCAAUUCUUUCUCUCUUAUCUUUUGAGGUGGUGUUAUGUCAUUCUUGAUAAUUUUAUUCAUGUUUCAUGAUUCAUAAGUUAUCAAGAAUGAGAUAUUUAAACCCAUCGUUUCUUCAUUGGAGUUAUCUUGGGUUGUAUUUCACCUAAAGCCUUACCUAAGGAAUGUUGCUAUUGUGGUGCUCAUCAAUGAUCCAAGUUUUCUCCUAUCCUCUCGGCGAGAGAAGUUUUCAUCUCUUCGUUGAUCUCAAGCAAGCAAUUGUUUUCGUUAGUGGCACAAUUUCACCUCAAGUUUUGAGAUAUCUCUAUAAGCCCACGAAGAUCAUAUCCUUUCUUUGUUGAUUUUUCAACAACUCCGUUCUUCUCCGUUCUUUUCAUUGCAUUCUUUCAUUUCUACCGGAGGCAUUGUGAUAUCGCUCUCUUCGACCCAUCUUCUCGUUUUGUCAAGAUCAUCUUCAUUCCUUGCUUAUCCUUUUAACCGGAGUGUGGUGUCAUCUCUUCAAUUUCUUUUCAUCUUAUCAAGUUUCCUUCUCUUUUUCAACCGGAGUGCUGUCAAAAUUAUGUCAUUCUUGUUCCUUGGCUAUCUCAUUAUAUCGGUGUGGUUUCAUAUUCUUUUGGUUCGUUAAGCCCUUGUUUCAUGUCUUUCAACCCACAAGGUUCUCAUAAUGUUCCUUGUUCUCCUUUUCUAACGGAGUGUUUGUAAUCUCGUUCAUCUCCGUUGUAUUCUUUUCUAAAAAUUGUUUAACCUCUCAAGGUUCUUUGGUUUCAAUCGUUUGUCAAAGAAGCAACUUUGUUUUACCUUUUCCUCUUCCGUUUCCUCCGGUGCCAUCCUAGAUCUCGGGACGAGAUCCUCUCGUAGUGGUGGAGUGUUGUAACACCCCGGAUGUAACUUUCCAUAUUUGUAACUCCAACUCUUGCCAUUUUCGGCUAUGUGUUAUGAUAUUCCCUCCGUGGUUGGGUUUUGUCUUUCGUUUUGCAUUUUGUUCAUGUCAUGCAUCUCAUAUCAUAUCAUCAUGUGCAUCUCAUUUGCAUACGUGUUCGUCUCAUGCAUCCGAGCAUUUUCCCCGUUGUCCGUUUUGCAAUCCGGCUAACCCACAUGCACCGGCCCCCCCUCUUGUUUCUUUUCGUGAGCGGGUGUUGAAUGUUCUCGGAAUGGACCGAGGUUUUCCAAGUGGCCUUGGUAUACCACCGGUAGACUACCUGUCAAGUUUUGUUUCAUUUGGAGGUCGUUUGAUGCUCCAACGGUUAACCGGGUAACCGCAAAGUCCUUUUGUGUGUUGCAGCAAAAACCCCCUCCAAACAGACCAAAACCCAUCUAAGUCCCCUCCAUGCUCUCGGUCGUUCGAUCACGAUCAUGUGGGCGAAAACCGCACUCCAUUUGGAGUCUCCUAGCUCCCUCUACCUAUAAAAACACCCCCCUCCGAAAUUUCGGAUCAAACCCUAGAUCAAAUCGUCCUCCGCGCCGCCGGACGCGUCCACUCCGCGCNNNNNNNNNNNNNNNNNNNNNNNNNNNNNNNNNNNNNNNNNNNNNNNNNNNNNNNNNNNNNNNNNNNNNNNNNNNNNNNNNNNNNNNNNNNNNNNNNNNNNNNNNNNNNNNNNNNNNNNNNNNNNNNNNNNNNNNNNNNNNNNNNNNNNNNNNNNNNNNNNNNNNNNNNNNNNNNNNNNNNNNNNNNNNNNNNNNNNNNNNNNNNNNNNNNNNNNNNNNNNNNNNNNNNNNNNNNNNNNNNNNNNNNNNNNNNNNNNNNNNNNNNNNNNNNNNNNNNNNNNNNNNNNNNNNNNNNNNNNNNNNNNNNNNNNNNNNNNNNNNNNNNNNNNNNNNNNNNNNNNNNNNNNNNNNNNNNNNNNNNNNNNNNNNNNNNNNNNNNNNNNNNNNNNNNNNNNNNNNNNNNNNNNNNNNNNNNNNNNNNNNNNNNNNNNNNNNNNNNNNNNNNNNNNNNNNNNNNNNNNNNNNNNNNNNNNNNNNNNNNNNNNNNNNNNNNNNNNNNNNNNNNNNNNNNNNNNNNNNNNNNNNNNNNNNNNNNNNNNNNNNNNNNNNNNNNNNNNNNNNNNNNNNNNNNNNNNNNNNNNNNNNNNNNNNNNNNNNNNNNNNNNNNNNNNNNNNNNNNGUCACCGCGGCCCCGACGUCCGCCGCCGCCUCCACCGCGCGCCCGGCGUGCCCCCUCGCCGGAUCCCGCCGUUCCCCGCUCCGGUGUCCUCUCCGGCCGCGUCUCCCUCUCCCUCCUCCGGCCGCCGCGUCCCUCUUCUCUGGCGAGCUCGAGCCCGCGCCGAUCCAUAUCUCGAGCCCGAGAGUUGACUUCUUCCUCCCCUCAAUUUUCUCCAAGUCCCGUAAUUUUUGCAACAUGUAGCCCUGUUCAUUGCAUCAUAAAUCUCUGCAUAUAGCUCUGUUUCGUGCGUGUAAUAUAUUGAAAUGUUCGUCUUGAGAUGCUCUUCAUUUUGUUCCAUUAUGCCAUGCUCAUUUGUGUCCAUCUUGUUGCCCAAAUCUCUGGUGCAAGAGUGCUAUAUGCUGUUACCUGCUGUUACUUAUCAGAACUUGAGGAAUUGUUAUUUUUGUUGCUUUUGACGUGUGCAUCUUAUGGGCAUGAGCUCUAUAUAUGUUUUGAUGGAUGCCAUGCCAUCUUUACAGAGGUGUAUGCCAUGUAUUUUUGUGAUCUCUGUGGUCACUAGUACAAGCAUGCAAAUUAGGCUUCAUGAUGUUUCUGUUUUCAGGGACUUGGUAAUUUCACUGUCUGUUACUGCUGUUAUUUUGUUGCCAUGUAUCCAUGUGUCUACAGAGAGAUCCAUGCAUCUUUUGGGCAUGUUCAGUAAGGAUGUUUUGUAGAUAUGGUUGUGCUAUAUCCAUACAUGCCCCUGUUUGCAAUUAUGGAGUGCCCUAGCAUGACUCAAUCGUGCUAUACUUUUGCUAUAAAAUAUUCCUGGCAGAUUGCUAACAUGAUAUUCAAUUUUGCCAAGCUUAUUGUAGUUGAUCCAUACAUGCUAUGUAUUUGCUCUUGCCAUGGAUAGCUUCCUAAACAUGCCAUCUUUUCGUAGGUAUGCUUGUUUUUUCAUGCAUUGCUUUGCGGUGAGUGAAUCAAACUCACAAAGAUGCCUCCAUAAUACAGUUUCUGCCAUGCUCUGUUUUCUGCUAAGUCUGAAACCUGUUAACGAAAAUUGCUAUGUUUACAUGGGUGCCAUCAUAUCUUCUAAUCCUUUUAGGCUCAUGGUCAGUAAGGGACUUUUGUUCUAUGCAUUCAAUAGAUUCAUGCCAUUCCUCGCUUUACUAUGUUAAGUUCCCGCAUCAUGUUGUUUGCUUGCUCUGAACAUUGCUACCUGAUGCUGUUUAUGCCAUGUCCAGUAAUUUCACCAAGUCUGUGAUUCUGAUAUCUUUUGCACUUUUGUCAUGCUUGUUUGAACCUGUUAUGUUGUGAUCUAGCCGUAGCUCAGUGUUCAUCUUUUGUCAAGCAUCUCCAGUAGAUUACUGCCAUAUGUUUUAUUGCUAUGUUGGGGUGCUGUAGCAUAGUUACUUGUUGCAUUCUAAGUGCUAUCAUGCUAUUAAUCGCAGAAUCGUGUCAUUCUUGUUUUGCUUGCCAUUUGCAAACCGUGCAUCCGUUUCCGGUGAUCUUUAUAUCGAUUUCGACCGAAAUCAUCUCAUCUUUCUAGUGGCAUACUUGGUUUGCCAAGUUACUGCCUUGUUCAUCCUUUUUCUUCCGGAGCACGCAUAUGCAUCGCAUAUCAUAUCUCGCAUAUCAUGCAUGUUUUGCAUCAUGUUGCUUGUGCAUUUCCCGUGAUUGAUUGUGGUUUCUUUGCUUGUAUUCUUGCUGUGGGUAGAGCCGGGAGACGAGUUCGUGAACGAGGAACCUGUUGAGUACGCUUACGAGGAUCAAGUUUUUGACAACUCUGAGAACCUUGCAGGCAAGAUGACCAUACCCUCGAAAUCACUUCUAUCUUUGCUUUGCUAGUUGUUCGUUCUAUUGCCAUGCUGCGCUACCUACCACUUGCUAUAUCAUGCCUCCCAUGUUUCCAUGUCAAGCCUCUAACCAUCCUUUCCUAGCAAACCGUUGUUUGGCUAAGUUACCGCUUUUGCUCAGCCCUUCUUAUAGCGUUGCUAGUUACAGGUGAAGUUGAAGUUGGUUCCAUGUUGGAACAUGGAUAUUUUGGAAUAUCACAAUAUCUCUUAUUAUAUUAAUGCAUCUAUAUAUUUGGUAAAGGGUGGAAGGCUCGGCCUUAUGCCUGGUGUUUUGUUCCACUCUUGCCGCCCUAGUUUCCGUCAUACCGGUAUUAUGUUCCUUGAGUUUGCGUUCAUUACGCGGUUGGGUGAUUUAUGGGACCCCCUUGAUAGUUCGCCUUGAAUAAAACUCCUCCAUCAAGGCCCAACCUUGGUUUUACCAUUUGCCACCUAAGCCUUUUCCCUUGGGUUUUCGCGAGCCCGAGGGUCAUCUUUAUUUUUUAAACCCCCCCAGGCCAGUGCUCCUUCAAGUGUUGGUCCGAACCGAGUAGACUGCGGGGCCACCUCGGGGAAACUUGAGGCCUGGUUUUACUCGUAGGAUGUCUCAUCCGUUGUGCCCUGAGAACGAGAUAUGUGCAGCUCCUAUCGGGAUUUAUCGGCACAUCGGGCGGCUUUGCUGGUCUUGUUUUACCAUUGUCGAAAUGUCUUGUAAACCGGGAUUCCGAGACUGAUCGGGUCUUCCCGGGAGAAGGUUUAUCCUUCGUUGACCAUGAGAGCUUAUAAUGGGCUAAGUUGGGACACCCCUGCAGGGUAUUAUCUUCCGAAAGCCGUGCCCGCGGUUAUGGGGCAGAUGGGAAUUUGUUAAUGUCCGGUUGUAGAGAACUUGACACUUGACUUAAUUAAAAUCUAUCAACCGUGUGUGUAGCCGUGAUGGUCUCUUCUCGGCGGAGUCCGGGAAGUGAACACGGUUUGAGUUAUGCAUGAACGUAAGUAGUUUCAGGAUCACUUCUUGAUCAUUUCUAGCUUCGCGACCGUUGCGUUGCUUCUCUUCUCGCUCUCAUUUGCGUAUAUUAGCCACCAUAUAUGCUUAGUGCCUGCUGCAACUCCACCUCAUUACACCAUUCUUUCCUAUAAGCUUAAAUAGUCUUGAUCUCGCGGGUGUGAGAUUGCUGAGUUCUCGUGACUCACAGAUUCUACCAAAACAAUUGCAGGUGCCGACGAUGCCAGUGCAGAUGACGCAACCGAGCUCAAGUGGGAGUUCGACGAGGAACGUGGUCGUUACUAUGUUUCUUUUCCUGAUGAUCGGUAGUGGAGCCCAGUGGGGUUGAUCGGGGAUCUAGCAUUUGGGGUUAUCUUAUUUUCAUUUGGAUUUGACCGUAGUUGGUAUAUGUGUGGAUUUUGAAUGAUGUAUGAAUUAUAUUUAUGUAUUGUGUGAAGUGGCGAUUGUAAGCCAACUCUCGUUAUCCCAUUCUUAUUCAUUACAUGGGAUUGUGUGAAGAUAACCCUUCUUGCGACAAUACCACAAUGCGGUUAUGCCUCUAAGUCGUGCCUCGACACGUGGGAGAUAUAGCCGCAUCGUGGGCGUUACAGCUAUACAAGAAGCGGCUCACACGUUUGCCACUCAAAGAAUGCCAAGACCCUAUAUACAUCACCUGCAAUUAUAUAUAGCAUUCUUCUUAGUGUUGUUACCUUUCAUUUUCAAUAUUUCUUUUCUCAGUGUUAUUACCUUUCAUUUCCAAUAUUUCUUUUCUCACUGUUGUUACCUUUUAUUUGCAGUAUUCCUCGGUCAGUUUUACUAAGAAAUAUCUCCGCCGCUGUAUUGACCCAAAGCUUUAUGACUUGCCAAUAAAAUCUAGAGAUGGAAAUCCCUGCAUCAAAGCCCGUCUAAUCAAAGGAGUCAACAACAGGGCAAAAAUUACUAGAGGCUGGGCAGGCUUCUUCCCCGCAGCUAAUAUGAAGGAAAGAGAAAUAUAUGCCUUCGCCUUCAAGCGCAACUACAAGCGCUUGGGUCUCAUCAUGCAUGCCCUCUGAGCAUCGUGUUCAGUCUACUAAACUACGUAAUUAGCCUAUGAAGUUCUAUGUGUAUAGCUUCACCCUAAAAAUCUGUUUGCUUUUGGCACUGGACUCUUUGGUCAUCAUGUUCAGUCUACUAAACUACCUAAAUAGCCUAUGAAGUUCACCUUUGACCAAAAGAAUCCAUUUACAUUGCCCUAUAUAUAAUCGUUAAUCAAUAUCCUAGAAGAUCUAGAAGGGAAACUAAUACUUUCUACAAUCCAAGUUUAACACUAUUAUUGUACCCGCCAUCAUAUCAACAAUUGCUUACUUCCUCUUCUAAACAUUCUGUUUUUUUCGUCUGCAAAUCAAUUUAAGUCAUCUUACUAUUUGUAAUACAAUCCUCAUUGCAUUAUCUUUUCAUCUACAUCUCCUACUUACUCACAACUAACAUCACUUCUAACUCGCUUCUUGCGCCAUGGGCGCAACCGGGUCAUCUAGUGGUUUGAAAAGGAGACACCAGAGGACAACACAAGUAGCAUCACUCCAUCAUCACACUGCACAGCUGAAACUAACAACUACAGACAACUUGUGGACAAGACACCACAAAAAUUACGAAUACUUUUGAAAUAAGUCUCAUGCUUAUAAAACUGAUGUGAGAGGAUCCACAACAGGCAUCAUACUGAUGAGGAUCAAAGUCAAACACAUCAACAGCCAUAGGCCAUGAGACCGUUGGAAUCCAUUACAUAAUUUCUUGCCGCCUAUCAAAGACUAGCGUUGGCACUUGCCAUUCUGCUCCUACUACCUAAAGCACACUAGAUAGAACUUCCUUCGUCUUUCGUCGCUUAAAUGGUUACCAAGCAAAGAAGGAUACCCAAAAUGAAACAAGCCCCAACGAGAAGAGGGCCAAAGCAGAUAGACCUUAACCUAAUUCGGCUUCUGGGCUGUCCUGUGGGCAUCUGAUCAACUCCAAUAUGUUCACCACCUCACUCAUGUCUGGCCUAUUGGAGGGAACCUGAGAAGUACAAACUAAGCCAAGUUUCAUGAUCGGAACAGCCUCUUCCAGUGGGAAUUUUCCGCAGAGCUUCCCAUCAACACACUCUUCCACUUUGCCUUCAUCCAAAGCAGCCCUCACCACAUCACACAGUACAAUAACAUCAUCUUCCAUGUACUCCACUGGUGCCCUCCCUGUCAUGACCUCCAGCACAAGAACUCCAAAUCCAUACACAUCACAUUUCUCGGUUAUCUUCACAGUCCUGCAUGUAAAUUCUGGUGCCAUGUAACCAAGUGCACUCUGUACCUUGCUGCUUAGAACAUACCGAUCCAACAUCGGCAGUAGCUUCGCCAAUCCAUAGUCCCCCACCUUGGCCUCGCCCGAACCAUCAAGCAUAAUGUUGCUUGACUUCAGGUUGUAGUGGAUAAUGUCAUGCCUGUGGAGGUGAGCCAGGCUUCUUGCCAUACCAAGAACUAUGUCAAAUCUUUCCUUCCAUGAAAGGUAAUUUGCAUUGGAAGAUUCAUGAAGUUGUUUAUGCAAGUUACCCCCAGACACAAACUCGUAGAUAAGAAGCUGAAGUGAUGGCGUCCAGUAAUAGCCCAUGAGUGCAACAAGGUUACGGUGGCGUAACUUGCCCAGCAUCUUCACUUCCCUCUCAAAUUCAUCUUGAGAUUUGACCAAGCUUGACACUGUCAGUUUCUUGAUGGCAACAGGUUGGCCAUCUCGGAGAGUGGUCUUGUAAACAGUGCCAAAACCACCACGGCCGAGCUCACAGUCCUUGUUCAGAAGAGCAUGGGUACUGGCACUGAAUUCUGGAUUGCCUCCUCCAAACAUGACAAGCUUGCCUGCAUUCACGUCAGUUGUUGGAGACUGACUGAGAUAUCCAUCUGAGAGUUCCAGCGCAGCAGCAGCAGCAGCAGAAUGAGAGCCUGGGGCGCGAACUUGAAGGUUAAGAACUGUAAUAGUUAUGAUACCAACAGCAAUGAGAACAGCAGCACCAAUUGCAACAAGGGCUGAGAUGCUCAGUAUGGUUUUCUUGUGAUGGAGCCCCCCAGGCACAGGCUCUUUCUGUGCUAGCGGAUUGGACGAAGAGUCUGGAUUCAGUACAAUUGGUUUUGGUAGUACGCCAGGACAAGAUGAGUUGAGCUUUGCACCGCAAAGGCCAGGAUUGUCGGACACAGAUGAGAGGGAGAUAGUGUCAAAAAAGCUACCAGGAGGGAGAUCCCCGGAGAGCUGGUUAUGUGAAAUGUUGAAGCGAACGAGGUGGGCAAGGUUGGAGAGCUGUUUUGGCAGACCACCCGUGAGCUUGUUCCGAGAAAGAUCAGCAGUCUGAAGGUUGGUGAGAUUGGCCAUUGUUGCUGGAAUGGCUCCGGUUAAACCAUUGUGUGAUAGAUCCCUGCACAUAGUAACCAAGCAUACAAAUACAAUUAAAGGCAGAAAUGCAUGAACAACUCCAAAUAUCAGCCUAGCGAAUCGAGUCGAAUAAGAAAGAGGUGCGCUUAAACUUACAGUGACGUGAGGGCAGAGCAAUCCCCAAUCUGGGGUGGGAUUUCUCCAGUGAGGGAGUUCUUGGCAAGGCUCAGCACUUUGAACGACUUCCCUCCAAUGGUAGAUGGAAUGCUCCCAUUGAGCCUAUUGGCACUCAAAUCAAGCAGCUCCAGUGACUUCAUCUCCACAAUGCUGGCUGGAACACUCCCAGACAGCGAGUUCCAAGACAUGUUCAGCGACUGCAAGGUGAGCAGUUGCGAGAGUUCGGACGGGAUCCGUCCUGAAAACGAAUUGCUUGACAGGUCCACGCCUUGAAUCACAGAGGAUGCAUUCACAGGCACCAUCACCACACCACUGAAUGUGUUGUAGGACACCGACACCCAUUGCACACCGGAAGCAAAUACCCAGGUAGGCAGGCUGCCAGUGAGGGAAUUCCAGCUCACGUCAACGUGCACUAGGCUUCUACAUCCACCGAUUGACUCAGGCAAGCCACCGGUGAACCCAUUUCCGGACAGCCUCAGCUCCCUCAGUGACAUGAGCCCACCAAUUGACCCCGGAAUCUCCCCGGAGAAUUUGUUCCCCGACAAAUCUAGCGUCUCCAGGCUCACCAUUUCUCCAACCCAAGUUGGAACAUUUCCGGUGAGCUCAUUUGAGCUCAAGUCAAGGUCUGUGCAAGUGGAGAGCCUCCGCAGGGACUCUGGCAAGUUGCCGGAGAGCGAGUUAGAGCUCAGGUCCACUGACCGCAGCAGCGGACAGUCCCCAAUGUCAUCCGGGAGGCUGCCUGUGAGGCGGUUCCUCCGCAGGUUCAGCGCCCGCAGGUUGAACAUCUUGCUGAUGCCCACAGGCAACUCGCCGGUGAUGGUAUUGCCAGAGAGGUCCAGAGUUCGCAGCGCAUUCAGGGACCAGAUGCCGCUGGGCAGCAUGCUGGCCAGGCGGUUGGAAGACAGGUUCAGAGACGCGAGCGUGCCGCACGCGCCCACAUCCGGGGUGUCACCGGUGAAGGCGUUGUUGGCCAGGGAGACGUCGCGGAGGGCGUGGCACUUGCCGAAGAAUCCAUCCGGGAUGGCGCCCGAGAAGGCGUUGGAGCUGAGGUCGAGCGACUGGAGGUCCGGGAGGCGGGCGAGGUCGGGUGGGAUGUCGCCGGAGAAGUUGUUGGCGGAGAGGGAGAGCGACUGGAGCGACUCGAGGCGCAGGAGACCGCGUCCGAGCUUGCCGGAGAGGCCGAAGCCGGCGAGGUUGAGCCCCGAGACGCGGCCGGUGCGCGGGUCGCAGGUGAUGCCGGCCCAGGCGCAGGCCCGCUCGUCGUCCUCGCUCCACGUCGCGAGGCGCCCCUCCGGGUCCACCACGUCGGCCUUGAACACAAUCAGCCCCAGGACGUCGUCGUUCAGCGCCGCCGCCAGGCCCGCGCGGCCGCCGCCCUUGGCCUCCGCCAGGAAGACGAGGUGGACGAGGAGCAGCAGCACGAGGGACCGCAUUGCUGCGAGUUGGAUCCCAGAUGGCAAGGCCCGGACAGCACGGCAGCAAGAAGUGAGGGCCUUUGUGGGCUCGGAAGAAGGAGGAGACGCCCCCAAAAUGCCGCAAGAAGGCGAUUCCGGAGAAGCGGAUGAGCUAGGAGAGAUGGGAUUCAGUCAAAUCUGCAGCAGAGGACCUCCAGGCUUGGGACGCCGCCCUCCCCUCCCCUCCCCUCCCCUACAAAUUCAAACAGGAGAAGAAACCAAGUGUAAGUAAUUGAGCUGCGGAAAUUCGGACUCUAGGGAGUAGCCGAGGUGGGUAAGGACGUACCGGCACGGGAACCUCCGCCGUCUACUUGUAGGGCGCAGCCGCCUCACCGGAGAACGCCAUUGUUGCAGGUCGGAGAGGAGCCAAGGGUUGGGGGGAGCGGCGUGGAGUGUCGAGUGAACCGUGGUGGUAUAUGUUCGUGACAAAAGGAAAAAAGGCGAGGGGGAAAAAGCUGCUGCAACGCAGGAGUGAUCGGACGGCCAUGCGCUGCUGUAGCACGCCAUCGAGGGUUCGGAUGGGCCGGGCGCGCGGGCCAAAAGUUUGUGCGCUGCGUCGGGCGGGGGCGCUUGGGCCGUGAGUACGGACCGAGAGCGGCUUCCCGAGCCCGACCAAGAAAAAAAAAA